rnacentral:rRNA from 1 species
UACGUAGGGGGCUAGCGUUGUCCGGAAUCAUUGGGCGUAAAGCGCGUGUAGGCGGCCCGGUAAGUCCGCUGUGAAAGUCGGGGGCUCAACCCUCGGAUGCCGGUGGAUACUGUCGGGCUAGAGUGCGGAAGAGGCGAGUGGAAUUCCUGGUGUAGCGGUGAAAUGCGCAGAUAUCAGGAGGAACACCGGUGGCGAAGGCGGGUCUCUGGGCCGAUACUGACGCUGGAGGAGCGAAAGCCGUGGGAGCAAACAGG